rnacentral:sRNA from 1 species
CUCAGCCCAAGCGCCGGCAGCAGGACACAUCCGCCAGCAUGCCCAAGCUCUUCCUGCACCUGGAAAAGAAGACACCUGUGCAUAGCAGAUCAUCUUCACCUAUUCCUCUGACUCCUAGCAAGGAAGGGAGUGCUGUGUUUGCUGGCUUUGAAGGGAGAAGAACUAAUGAAAUAAACGAGGUAAAGAAUGUUUGAUGUUUGUUCCCAAUGGUUCCUUCAUUUGUGAUUACUUCAAUUCUAUAGGUGGAAGUCAAGGUUCUUAAAGCAUCAUGUUGCUGCUAUUACUGUAAACAUUAUCAAAAUUGUACAUAAUUUUAUGCUUAACACUGUGGGUUUUGGUUUCUAAAGUGAGAAAAUUGUUAGGAUUCCAGCCCUACACUGACAAUCAUCUUUUAAAUAAGUGCAAUUAUUGAAAUACCAGUAUUUUUACUUUAUAGAACAGAUGUCAAUUUCCACAGAGGGCCAGAGGGUAAAUACUUUCGGCUUUGUGGGCCAUAUGGUGUCUGUCAAGGCUACUUAACUCCAAAAGUAGCCACAGAUAGUAUGUAAAUAAAAUGAGUGUGCUAUAUUCCAAUAAAACUUGAUUUAUGGACACUGAAA